CUCCCAGCAGCCUUUGCGCGGGGGCAGCACAACAUGGCGGCGCCCUUUGUCCUGUUUGGAGAGCGGGAGGCGGGUGGAAAAGGAUCCCCAGGGACUGCGGCUUUCCUGCGCCGCUUGCGGUGCGGACUCUCGAGAGGGCUCAGUCUUGAGUUUCCGGGCGCUUCCUGUUAAAAUACUGUGAAAAUAACUUCGUACUUUAAGGGGAAAGAAGCUGUUUGUGGGAGUUCAGAUGUCCGUGAUAAACGCUCUAUGCUUUUUCAGUCAGUAAGCUCUUAAAAUAUCUUUCAAUAAUCCUCCAAAACCUUACUGAGACAGCAGCAUCUGUGCUAAAAGCAGUCGAGGUUCAAGAAAAGGCUGGGACAAAACGGGAUAAAUCAGCAUCGCUUCCAAGCGCUUUCCCGGCUUUCCCAUGAAGCCAAAGGAGCCUUGGAAGUAGUGCCACUGUCCCUGGUCAUUCUUGUGUUUGCAGGGAGUAAAAAUGGCCUUGGGGAUUUGCUUCUGGGAACAGAGAUCCAUUUCCUGAUAGUAGUCCUGGAAAUAGAACUGAGUCUCUCUGAGAACUGACGAUGGUACAGAAGGAGUGCUGGGAAGGGAGAGUCCACAGUGUGGUGAGUGUCCUGAUGUCCCUGCUGUAAUGCUGUGCUGUCAUCAAGUCCCCUCAUUCUGAUGUAAACUGUCUUUGAAUGUGCUCAAAGUCCAAACUGAAGUACAAAAUGCCUAUGGGAAGCUUCAUGUUCCCAAGGGAAUGCUUUAGGGAUGUGUAGCUUCUGAACUACAGAAAUAAUUCAGGUUCCCACAGAAACCUUGGGCCGUGGUUGGGGCAAGAGUGACAGAAAAGUAGCAUCUUCAGGGCCAUCUUAAGAGUUGUUUUCCCUCGAGAUCACAAUGAAAUGCUGGGAAAUCAUGGCCCUCUGGGAAACCUCUGAGCAGGGUAAGUGGUGUAAGUGUGGUUUUCCUACUCUCUGCACUCUCAGUGAUGCCCUGAAGUGCUCUGGCUCAUGGAAUAUGAUCUGUGUGUAACAGCUUCCGUGCCUAUCUGUGCAGGUGGGUCAGUCACUAAGUGUCCCAUGGGAUCCCUGAGGCUGGAAAAGCCCUUUGAGACCAUGGGGUCCAAGUGGUGCCCCAGCACUGCCAAGGCCACCCCCAGCCCAUGUCCCCAAGGGCCACAUGAAGAGCCAUCCCCUGAGGGACAGGAACUGGGGUGAGGGCUGCAGGCACUGGCAGUGAGGCUGGGGGUUCCCUGGGAGCCUCCAACACACCUUCCCUUCUCCCUGGCCUUCCCAGGAAGGAUGACUGGUCUGGAGAGCACAGUGUGCAGAGGCAGUCCAAAGCCACACUCAGGACAUUUCCCUGCAGUUCAGGGAACCUCUGAUUGCAGCACCUUGAAGUCUUGUGUGCUCAGCAGCUUUUCCUUUGGAGUUUUUAUGCCCUAGGAAACAGAUUUGAGGACCUCCCAGUGAAUUCAGUGAAUUGUCCCAAUCAGAGAGCUUUUUGCUGACCUAAAUUGAGCUUUUAAGCCCCAGACCUCCCAGAUUUGCAGUGUUUUACCAUAACAGUGAGCCAGGAUGGAUUCUCCUGUUCAGUGGACUGACUGAGGCUGUGGAUUGCAAUGCAGAGCAUCUGCAUGCUCCUGGUGCUUGGGGCUGUGGUGUUUGGAGUGCAGGAAACAUCCCUGGGACCCUGACUGUCUGACCUGGGUGUGGAUGUGCAUUUCCAGGACUAACUCAGUCUGGGUAUCCCACCCACCCAAAGCUUCUGAUGAAGCUCCAGGACCAGCAAGUCCCUGAAACUUGAGGAAGAGAAGAAAUGAGUUAAAGUAGAAAGAUCAGAUGAUGGAAUUGCCAGUCUGGAUGUGUGCUGAUCUCUGGUGGCAGGGUACUCUCAGGCCCUAAUGGCUGCACAUUCUUGUUCUUUUCACUGGGAAAUUGGGAGUAAUUAUUAAUUAAUUAUUCAGAAAUGUUUUCUGAAACUUUUCCCUUUUUUUCUGUCUUUCGCUGUAGAUUUUCUUUUGCUGCCUUUGAAUUUACAGCUUCCUUCUAGCUCCCAGGUGGGAACACCUGGGUUGACUCAGGGAGGACAGGGGUGAAAUUUUUAGCCGAAAACUUGGGGUAAUUUAGAGAUGGCAGAGCAACUGGUUUUGUAGGAAAAUGUGUUUAACCACAUUGAUCCUAGUUGUGUUUGCACAAAUUGGGGCCAGAGGUAAAACUUAAUCCAAAGCAAACCCUGCUCAACCUGUAAAUCCCAGGAUAAGUUCUACAAGCUGCAAAUUGAGGGACUAAAAAUACAUUAAAAUGGAACCAAGAGCAUUAAUAAGGUUCCAGGGAAUCCCAGUAUUGUUGUUGUGGAAUUUUUAACUGAUUUUUAAUCUUCUUAUGACAACAGUGAGUUUCUUCCUUUGGAUUACUCAUGCUGUAGGUUUUGAGGUUUAUUUGGAUUUUGAAUCCCUCACUGCGGCCCUGACACUGAUCAGGAGCUGGCAGGAAAAACACAAUCAGAGCUCCUGGCAGGCGCAGGGUGUUUUCCCCCAGAGCGGAUCCAACUGCUGCCCACCAGCCUGGCCACCAGCCUGGGAUUUGCUUUUGGCUCUUGGCUUCUUCAAUGGUGAAUUCCUGCUGGAACAGCCUCACAGUGCCUUAUGGAGCCCAGAUAUUCCCCUGUAGAGCUGCCGCUUUAACGCCAGGUUUGUCAGGAACCAGCCAACGUUCCAGGGAAGCUCAGUGGGAUCAGGACAGGUUGAUAUUCCAUAGAAUUUGCUGUUUAUAACCCUACUUCCCCAGCCCUGCUGAUGUCCCUGCGGGGGACUUGACUGAGUUCCCUGGAAUUCAGCUGAUUUUCACCCCCUGGGGUCAGGCUCCAGGGGAUGUGUUCACCCAGGAGAAGGUGGUGGUGGGACGCGCUCCAGGCACGUGGUGAGGCAGCACCUGAGCACAGGCGAGGACGUCUCUCCGUGCAGGAAGCCGCUGUCACUUCAGAGCCUCAGGAGUGGCCUCUGGAAGUUCUUUUCCCUGAGGAAAGGGAUGCACAUCCCUGCCUUCAGGGCACCCCGGGUCUGACCCACCUGUUAAAGCUUUCCAUGGGUUCUGCAGUUCCAGCUGUGUCUGUCCGGGGUGAAGCAUCUCAGGGUGCCAGGGGGGGG